rnacentral:rRNA from 1 species
UACGUAGGGGCAAGCGUUGUCCGGAUUCAUUGGGCGUUAAAGAGCGUGUAGGCGGCCAGGUAGGUCGGUUGUGAAAACUGGAGGCUCAACCUUCAGAGGUCGACCGAAACCAUCUGGCUAGAGUCCGGGAGAGGAGAGUGGAAUUCCUGGUGUAGCGGUGAAUGACGCAGAUAUCAGGAAGAACACCCGUGGCGAAAGCGGCUCUCUGGAACGGUACUGACGCUGAGACGCGAAAGCGUGGGGAGC